UUGAACGCUGGCGGCAUGCCUUACACAUGCAAGUCGAACGGUAACAGGUCUUCGGAUGCUGACGAGUGGCGAACGGGUGAGUAAUACAUCGGAACGUGCCCGAGAGUGGGGGAUAACGAAGCGAAAGCUUUGCUAAUACCGCAUACGAUCUCAGGAUGAAAGCAGGGGACCGCAAGGCCUUGCGCUCACGGAGCGGCCGAUGGCAGAUUAGGUAGUUGGUGGGAUAAAAGCUUACCAAGCCGACGAUCUGUAGCUGGUCUGAGAGGACGACCAGCCACACUGGGACUGAGACACGGCCCAGACUCCUACGGGAGGCAGCAGUGGGGAAUUUUGGACAAUGGGCGCAAGCCUGAUCCAGCCAUGCCGCGUGCAGGAUGAAGGCCUUCGGGUUGUAAACUGCUUUUGUACGGAACGAAAAGACUCUGGUUAAUACCUGGGGUCCAUGACGGUACCGUAAGAAUAAGCACCGGCUAACUACGUGCCAGCAGCCGCGGUAAUACGUAGGGUGCGAGCGUUAAUCGGAAUUACUGGGCGUAAAGCGUGCGCAGGCGGUUAUGUAAGACAGAUGUGAAAUCCCCGGGCUCAACCUGGGAACUGCAUUUGUGACUGCAUAGCUAGAGUACGGCAGAGGGGGAUGGAAUUCCGCGUGUAGCAGUGAAAUGCGUAGAUAUGCGGAGGAACACCGAUGGCGAAGGCAAU
rnacentral:rRNA from 1 species